CAGAUUGAACGCUGGCGGCAUGCCUUACACAUGCAAGUCGAACGGCAGCACGGGUGCUUGCACCUGGUGGCGAGUGGCGAACGGGUGAGUAAUACAUCGGAACAUGUCCUGUAGUGGGGGAUAGCCCGGCGAAAGCCGGAUUAAUACCGCAUACGAUCUACGGAUGAAAGCGGGGGACCUUCGGGCCUCGCGCUAUAGGGUUGGCCGAUGGCUGAUUAGCUAGUUGGUGGGGUAAAGGCCUACCAAGGCGACGAUCAGUAGCUGGUCUGAGAGGACGACCAGCCACACUGGGACUGAGACACGGCCCAGACUCCUACGGGAGGCAGCAGUGGGGAAUUUUGGACAAUGGGCGAAAGCCUGAUCCAGCAAUGCCGCGUGUGUGAAGAAGGCCUUCGGGUUGUAAAGCACUUUUGUCCGGAAAGAAAUCCCUGGCCUCUAAUA
rnacentral:rRNA from 1 species